rnacentral:rRNA from 1 species
GACGAACGCUGGCGGCGUGCCUAAUACAUGCAAGUCGAACGCAGUGGGGACGGGUGAGCAACACGUGGGUAACCUCACAUCCGAGGGGAUAACACUUUGAAACAGGUGCUAAACCGAUAUUGAUGGCUGGACCCGCGGGGCAUGAGCUAGUUGGUGAGGGAACGGCUGACCAAGGCAACGAUGCAUAGCCGACCUGCGAGGGGGAUCGGCCACACUGGGACUGAGACACGGCCCAGACUCCUACGGGAGGCAGCAGUAGGGAAUCGUCGGCAAUGGACGAAAGUCUGACCGAGCCACGCCGCGUGAGUGAAGAAGGUUUUCGGAUCGUAAAGCUCUGUUGUUAGAGAAGCGUUAUCUAACCAGAAAGCCACGGCUAACUACGUGCCAGCAGCCGCGGUAAUAC